UACGUAGGGGGCAAGCGUUGUCCGGAUUCACUGGGUGUAAAGGGCGCGUAGGCGGGUUAGCAAGUCAGAGGUGAAAUCUCCCGGCUCAAUCGGGAAACUGCCUUUGAAACUGUUAAUCUUGAGUUCGGAAGAGAGAGAUGGAAUUCCAGGUGUAGCGGUGAAAUGCGUAGAUAUCUGGAGGAACACCAGUUGCGAAGGCGAUCUCUUGGCCCGUUACUGACGCUCAGGCGCGAAAGCGUGGGUAGCAAACAGG
rnacentral:rRNA from 1 species